GAGGGAAUAGCUCAGUGGCAGAGCACAUGCUUAGCAUGCAUAAGGUCCUGGGUUCGAUCCCUAGUACCUCCA
rnacentral:tRNA from 1 species